ensembl:lncRNA
CUGGUUUUGUGGUCCAGGGUCACACAUAGGCUAUCCACUACUCAGUGUCUAGGGAACAUUGAGCAUUGCGUGAAUCAGACGCAGCGAUGGUCAGCUCUAUUGUAAAGACUGAGGUGACCAGUGUGUCUGUGUCAAGUUCACUGUUCAGCCCACUGUGUUGCGUGUCGGAGAAUCUCGCUGCGUUCAGUUGUAGUGUGGGCGUAGCUGUGCCAUUGACGCUUGAUCGUUGCUGAGGGGGAUUGCCUCGCGAGUGGGCGGGAAACUGAGACCGCGAAAAAGCAAACAGUCAAGCGCGCUCUGUAGCGGAACGUUCUCGCGCGGUUACCAUGACGCUGAGAGUGGGUAAACGCCGCUCUGUCGCGCUGGCUCUGACCUCUGGGUUGGUAUUUGUUUGAGGAUGGGUCAUAAACUUGGCCAGAAUCACGUCUUGGCUGCUGGUUUGGGUGGAGGUGGAAAGAAGCGCUAUACAGCCAGCCUGAAUGUACCUGACGACCUCAGAGACCAGAGUCAAACAGAAACAGACUGGGUGGCAUAUAGUCAUUACAGCGCACACAGAUCAAGGCUUUAUGGGAAGGGAAAAUUUCAGCAGGGGCCCAGAGUUUCUGCCUAUGAGUGCUUUUAAAAAUACUGAACUGCUUUUUAGAGUCAGCUUGUGUAGGUGUAUCUAUUCCUGUAUACUUCUCUCUUGGUCAUGCUUUUUAAAAGAAUUUGUAUUUUAUAGUAACCCAAAUGUAUUUCUGUGUAAUGUGCAUAUCAGUGUUUCUCUUAAUUGCUUAUAUAUUUAUUUUCACAAUGUGUAUUCAUGUCAAUUCUGGAAUUUGCACUGGCGAUCUGGUUUUGUAUUACUUUAUUGGACACUGACAUGUUAAUUAAAAUAUUUUUCCCA